UACUGUUAAAAAUGGUUUUUAAAAAAUCAGAGCAAGCCUAAGCCCCUUCAUUUUAUAAAUACAAUAACCUGAGGCUCUUCAUUGCUGGUGACUCACACAGGCACACACUCAGCAUUGCUGGAUGUCAGCUCAGGAUCCAGAAUGCAUUUGAACAAUUCGUGCUAAAUUAAUAAAUGCACUUUAAAAUAGGCCCAUAUUAAUCCCAAAAUAACUAAACCUGUGGAAUUUGUAAAAUAAGAUGUUUAUGAAUGAGGACACGGCAUUUCGCCUUAGUUCUGAUUCCCCCCUUUCCGAAAGCAGAAUCUACAGUCUAUUUUCCCAUUGCUAGAUUUCAGAAGAGAGCCUGGUGUCACUUACAGCAGACAUUGCAGAUGCCUCAGCAUUUCGGAUGAAGACGGUGCAGGUGGAGCUGUGCCGUCCUGCACUGAAGCCCUGCAGUCCUGACUUCUGAGUGGAGCUAGAGGGGAAUUAUAUUAAUGUGUUUGCACUACUUGCUCAAUUGUAAAGCAUAACAAAUAUAUUUAAGGCAUGUUUUUAAAAUGAGAAUAAAAUAGUUUAACAAUGUUUACA